GACGAACCGUGCGAACGUUAUUCGGAAUCACUGGGCUUAAAGCGCGUGUAGGCGGGACGGCACGUCGGUCGCUGAAAUCCCCCGGCUCAACCGGGGAACGGGCGCCGAUACGACCGCCCUGGAGGGACGUAGGGGGACCUGGAACUUCCGGUGGAGCGGUGAAAUGCGUUGAGAUCGGAAGGAACGCCCGUGGCGAAAGCGAGGUCCUGGACGUUUACUGACGCUGAGACGCGAAAGCCAGGGGAGCGAACAGG
rnacentral:rRNA from 1 species